rnacentral:misc_RNA from 1 species
GAAAACCAUUGUCAAGCUGGUCACCACUCCAGACGGUAACAGAGUACUGCAGACUGUGGGUCAGCCUGCCAUCAUUCGAGCCAUGGCAACCCAGCCCCCCAAGCCUGGAGCUACAUCACAGCCAGCCAUCAUACAGGCGCCAGCCAGGAAUCUAAACAUCCUCCAGUCACCAGUCAUAAGAGGGGCUUCUCCAGCGGCAAAACCUCAAUCCAGGGGCCGUCUCAUUCCAGAGCUAUCUGCAGAGUCAGGUUUUAGUGGGUUUGUUCCAUCUGGUCUUCAAGAGGGAAUUAAAUCCCAAGUACAGGCACCUCAGAGUUCUGUAACUGCUACCUUAGUUACAAAUGUGGUGGGUGGAACACCUUCAGUGUCAGUCCCUUCACACUCAGUAGUUGCUCCUUCCCUUGUAGGGAAUGUGAGCCCAGCUUCUGUUCAGAACCAACCCCAGCAAGUGAUUCUUAGCAUGAUGCCAGGAGGAGACCUACUUUUACCAACCACUGUACAAAAUAUCAAUCAAGUCAUAGAUAAUGAGGCACAUGCAGGUGUAAGUGGAAAUCAACAAAUCCAACCGCAAACAAACAAUGAAUCAGUGAACAGUGAUGCAAAUUCUGUUGUUAAUCAGGUGAUUGAAGACCCAAGUGUCAGUAUAGCUCAGAAACGGAAACUGGAGAAUUCUGAGAGUGAGUUGCUGGUACCUAACAAACAGUGGCAGGGGGACCAGACUGUGUCUGGUGGCCAGGACAGCUCUACUGUGACUUAUGUGUCAAUGGGUUCCAGUGCACCAACAGUAGUGUCCACCGAGUGCCCAGUCUCCAACCUCCCUGUGGUAUCCACUGUACAAUUAGUAUCAGGUACACCUGUUGUCUCCCAAUUCCCAGCUGUGUCCAAUGUUCUGAUUGGCUCUAAUGUUCAGAUACCAGUGGUCAGCAAUAUACCGAGCAGCACAAAUUUGGGUUCUAGUGUACAGCUCGUGUCGUCCCUUCCAGUGGUGUCCAGUGUCCCCACAGGGUCCAGCAUUCAGUUCGUGCCAUUGAUUACAAGCAAUGUGACACAACAGAACAGUCAUGCAGUGGAAAGUCUGACAAGGAAAGGGAAUUUGUUUGAUAAUUUAGAGACAUUAGUACCAAGUGCACAACCAACAGUCGUGACAAAUGGCAUCUCCAACCAGAAUCCACCCGCUCCGGGAACAACUCCGCCCUCAGCCCCAGCCCCCGUCUUCAAACUGUCACCUGAGGUCAUGAACAAGGUGUCCAUGUUUGCGGCGAACCUUCACUCAAACUCUCUUGCCAGCAAACUUCAGGGCUUGACAAAGUCACCCUCCCAAUCAACACAGAGUGGAAACUUGACCAACAUUGUUUUGACCAAUCCUCUUGCUGCAACCUCCAACCUCACUACCAUAGCAACCACGAUACCACAGCAACCGAUCACACUGCUGCAUGCUGGGAACUUGGAGCCCACUGCUUCCUCCCAGCAAACUGUGCAUGUCACGGGGCCUCACCUCACUGCAGAGGAAAUGGUGCAGGCCGGCUUGGUGCCUAAACAGGACCAUGUUUGACAGCAGCUUCAAUUAGAUCAGCUUUUACUAACCAAUCAAAAGCAAAAAAAUUCCAAACCCUCUGAGAAAAACCAGCAGGACUGAUGCGCCAGUAGCAGUGUGGGAUGGGGAGGGGGGAUACAGAUGGAAACCAGUCAUCGUCAUUGUGUCAUUUAUGUAAACGUUUGGCAGUAUUUACAGUAAUGGAAGGAGAAUGUGUGUGCACCAGGAGUAUCAUUUGGCUCCAUGCUUUUACACCUGAACAAACUUUCUUUUUGUGUAUUUUCUUUUAUUCUUUUCAUUCAUUGUGAUAUUGUGGGUUUAACUCAUCUCAUAUUUUGUGAAAAUAAGUCCUUAAAUUUUUGUCAGGUUAGUACAGUUGAAUAGUUCCUGUGAGUGGAUUUGAGUGUGAAUGUUCUGUGAUGCCAUCUGGCAAUGACUUGUGUGGAAUUAACCCAACUUUUAUCAAAUGUCAUAACUGUUAGGUCUAUCAUGAUUUAUUUUGACAAAUGUUAAAAAUGCAAGUUUUUAUCUCAGUGUUAGUAAUUCAUUCAUGUAAGUAUUCUUGGCCUCAAUGUAAUUUCUAUAUUUGAUAUGAUAUUUGUUUGGAGGCUUUUGUACCAUACGCUCCCUGUUGUGAACGAUAUACAAUGUCAGCUGUUCUUUUCUGUGUGGUAGGGCAUUUGUUUUUUAAUAUGACUAAUUUCAUGAGAAUUUUACGACACAUCUGAAUGUAGCAUCAAUUUGUGUCAGUAGAAAAUAAACAAUGAUAUGUGUU